UGAGAACUGAAUUCCAAGGGUUGUAUUUCUGAAGUCAGCCCAUGGGGCUCAGUUCUUAAAC
ensembl:miRNA dre-mir-146b-1 microRNA 146b-1